AUUGAACGCUGGCGGCAUGCCUUACACAUGCAAGUCGAACGGUAACGCGGGGCAACCUGGCGACGAGUGGCGAACGGGUGAGUAAUACAUCGGAACGUGCCCAGUAGUGGGGGAUAGCCCGGCGAAAGCCGGAUUAAUACCGCAUACGACCUACGGGUGAAAGCGGGGGAUCGCAAGACCUCGCGCUAUUGGAGCGGCCGAUGUCAGAUUAGCUAGUUGGUGGGGUAAAGGCCUACCAAGGCGACGAUCUGUAGCUGGUCUGAGAGGACGACCAGCCACACUGGGACUGAGACACGGCCCAGACUCCUACGGGAGGCAGCAGUGGGGAAUUUUGGACAAUGGGGGCAACCCUGAUCCAGCCAUGCCGCGUGCGGGAAGAAGGCCUUCGGGUUGUAAACCGCUUUUGUCGGGGAAGAAACGGUCUGCGCUAAUACCGCGGACUAAUGACGGUACCUGAAGAAUAAGCACCGGCUAACUACGUGCCAGCCGCCGCGGUAAUAC
rnacentral:rRNA from 1 species